rnacentral:rRNA from 1 species
UACGUAGGUUGCAAGCGUUGUCCGGAAUUAUUGGGCGUAAAGCGCGCGUAGGCGGCUUUUUAAGUCUGAUGUGAAAGCCCACGGCUCAACCGUGGAAGGUCAUUAGAAACUGAAAGGCUUGAGUACAGAAGAGGAAAGCGGAAUUCCACGUGUAGCGGUGAAAUGCGUAGAGAUGUGGAGGAACACCGGUGGCGAAGGCGGCUUUCUGGUCUGUAACUGACGCUGAGGCGCGAAAGCGUGGGGAGCAAACAGG